GGUAGUGAGGUACAGUACUGGUAGUAAUAGAUACUGUACCAAGGAGGUACAGUACUGGUAGUAAUAGAUACUGUACCAAGGAUGUACAGUACUGGUAGUGAGGUACAGUACUGGUAGUAAUAGAUACUGUACCAAGGAGGUACAGUACUGGUAGUGAGGUACAGUACUGGUAGUAAUAGAUACUGUACCAAGGAGGUACAGUACUGGUAGUGAGGUACAGUACUGGUAGUAAUAGAUACUGUACCAAGGAGGUACAGUACUGGUAGUGAGGU